CCUACGGGUGGCAGCAGUGAGGAAUAUUGGUCAAUGGGCGCAAGCCUGAACCAGCCAAGUCGCGUGAGGGAAGACUGCCCUAUGGGUUGUAAACCUCUUUUAUAAGGGAAGAAUAAUGACUACGUGUAGUCAGAUGCCCGUACCUUAUGAAUAAGCAUCGGCAAACACCGUUCCAGCAGCCGAGGUAAUACGUAGGAUGCGAGCGUUAUCCGAAUUUAUGGGGUUUAAAGGGUGCGUAGGCGGUAUUUUAAGUUAGUGGUAAAACGUCGGGCUUUCACCUUGAUUGGCAAUUAAAACUGGAAGACUAGAGUACAGAAGAGGUAGGCGGAAUAAGUGAAGUAGCGGUGAAAUGCGUAGAUAUCACGUAGAACCCCGAUAGCGAAGGCAGCUUACCAGACUGUUACUGACGCUGAAGCACGAGAGCGUGGGUAGCGAACAGGAUUAGAUACCCGGGUAGUC
rnacentral:rRNA from 1 species